UAAGGAAUAUUGGUCAAUGGACGAAAGUCUGAACCAGCCAUGCCGCGUGGAGGAUGAAGGUCCUCUGGAUUGUAAACUUCUUUUAUCUGGGACGAAAAAAGGUCUUUCUAGAUCGUCUGACGGUACCAGAUGAAUAAACACCGGCUAACUCCGUGCCAGCGGCCGCGGUAAUACGGAGGGUGCAAGCGUUAUCCGGAUUCACUGGGUUUAAAGGGUGCGUAGGUGGGUUGGUAAGUCAGUGGUGAAAUCCUCGAGCUUAACUCGGAAACUGCCAUUGAUACUAUCAGUCUUGAAUAUUGUGGAGGUUAGCGGAGUAUGUCAUGUAGCGGUGAAAUGCUUAGAUAUGACAUAGAACACCAAUUGCGAAGGCAGCUGGCUACACAUAUAUUGACACUGAGGCACGAAAAGCGUGGGGAUCAAAACAGGAUUAGAUACCCUGGUAGUCCACGCCCUAAAACUAUGGAUACUCGACAUACGCGAUACACUGUGUGUGUCUGAGCGAAAAGCAUUAAGUAUCCCCACCUGGGGAAGUACGAUCGCAAGAUUGAAACUCAAAUGAAUUGACGGGGUCAUAGCUGUUUGCCUG
rnacentral:rRNA from 1 species